rnacentral:rRNA from 1 species
AGUGAACGCUGGCGGUAGGCCUAACACAUGCAAGUCGAACGGCAGCACAGUAAGAGCUUGCUCUUACGGGUGGCGAGUGGCGGACGGGUGAGGAAUACAUCGGAAUCUACUUUUUCGUGGGGGAUAACGUAGGGAAACUUACGCUAAUACCGCAUACGACCUACGGGUGAAAGCAGGGGAUCUUCGGACCUUGCGCGAUUGAAUGAGCCGAUGUCGGAUUAGCUAGUUGGCGGGGUAAAGGCCCACCAAGGCGACGAUCCGUAGCUGGUCUGAGAGGAUGAGCAGGCACAAUGGAAGUGAGACACGGUUCAGACGCCUACGGGAGGCAGCAGUGGGGAAUAGUGGACAAAGGGCGAAAGCCUGAUCCAGCCAUGCCGCGUGUGUGAAGAAGGUCUUCGGAUUGUAAAGCACUUUAGGUGGGGAGGAAGGGCAGUAAGUUAAUACCUUGCUGUUCUGACGUUACCAACAGAAUAAGCACCGGCUAACUUCGUG